AUCAAUGGAGCACGAAGAGAAGCUGGAGAGGGACGAGGGAGGGAAGCGCGGCAGGAGGAGCAAGAGGAGGCAUGAAGAAUCCGAUUCGAGGAGCAGGAGCAGCGAUAGCGGUAGUAGCGAGAGUGAAAAUCGCAGGAGCAAGCGUAGGAAGCGGCAUCAUCGACGAAGAACUAGAGGAUCAUCUGAUAGUAGCUCGUCCGGGGAGGAGAGCGAUGGUAGCGACGAUGUGAGUAAGCGCUCACGCAGCCGAGUAAGGCACAAGGAGGAGCGAAGGCACAAGAGCAGGGAUAAAGAGAAGAAACGCAAGGAUAGGGGGAAGGGGAAGCGAAAGGAGGAGAAGAAGAAGAAGAAAAAGGAGAAGGCCGAGCGCCAGAAGAGUGGGCCUGUGACUGCUUCAUGGGGGAAGUAUGGACUUAUCAAGGAGAUCGAUAUGUGGAACAAGAGGCCGGAAUUUAGCGCAUGGCUUUCGGAAGUGAAGAAAGUCAAUCUGGAGACGCUACCGAAUUGGGAGGAGAGACAAAUGUUUAAGGAGUACAUGGAAGAUUAUAACACUGCAACACUUCCCUCGAAGAAGUACUACAAUGUUGAUAAGUAUCACCAGCGAAAGAUGUUCAAGGAGUGGAAGAAGGGCGCCAAAUACAGAUCUGUCGAAGUGGAGCGGACAGAAUUCAACGAUGAAGAGCAACGAAGGCAAGAACUAAAAAUGCUGCGGGAGCAUGAGAAAGAGGCACACAUUGAAGAACUAAAGCACUCGAUGAAAACUGGCAUGGCACAAGCGAUGCGUGAGCAAGCCCAACUUCGUGAGGAAAUGCAGUACCAAUAUCGUCUCGGGAAUCUCGAAGCAGCGAAUGCGAUCCAGAAGCGCCUGGAGCCUGACGCUUUGUAGUACCAUAUAGAGAGAAAAAACUAUCAAAUCGAACACAGCCAGAGUUGCAUUUUGCUGUUGUACUCCAUGGAGACAGUACCGAUCGUCAUGAGAGUGUGAAGAAGUGGAGGAGAGCGUUAUGCACCCCAGCUCUACAGCCGAGCCAAAAAAUGUUGAGAGACGAGGUCAGAACAAAAGAAAGCUGGAUCUGUCCAGCACUGCUUUUGAAGCAAUCAGCCCUUUUUAGCCUUUUGGCCUGCAUCAGUUAACGUUUUCUUCCUUUA